rnacentral:tRNA from 1 species
CCCUCGGUGGUGGAAUUGGUAGACGCGCCGACCUGGAAAGUUGGUUUCUGAAAGGAAGUACGGGUUCGAAUCCCGUCGGAGGGG